rnacentral:snRNA from 1 species
AUACUCUGGUUUCUCUUCAGAUCGUAUAAAUCUUACGUCUUUUACUAAAGAUUUAUGUGGAGAGGAAUAGGCAUGAGUGUCAAAUUUUUUGAGGCUCCAUCUCAGUGGAGUU